AUUGAACGCUGGCGGCAGGCCUAACACAUGCAAGUCGAGCGGAUGAAGGGGGCUUGCUCCUGGAUUCAGCGGCGGACGGGUGAGUAAUGCCUAGGAAUCUGCCUGGUAGUGGGGGAUAACGUCCGGAAACGGGCGCUAAUACCGCAUACGUCCUGAGGGAGAAAGUGGGGGAUCUUCGGACCUCACGCUAUCAGAUGAGCCUAGGUCGGAUUAGCUAGUUGGUGGGGUAAAGGCCUACCAAGGCGACGACCCGUAACUGGUCUGAGAGGAUGAUCAGUCACACUGGAACUGAGACACGGUCCAGACUCCUACGGGAGGCAGCAGUGGGGAAUAUUGGACAAUGGGCGAAAGCCUGAUCCAGCCAUGCCGCGUGUGUGAAGAAGGUCUUCGGAUUGUAAAGCACUUUAAGUUGGGAGGAAGGGCAGUAAGUUAAUACCUUGCUGUUUUGACGUUACCAACAGAAUAAGCACCGGCUAACUUCGUG
rnacentral:rRNA from 1 species